AUUGAACGCUGGCGGCAGGCUUAACACAUGCAAGUCGAGCGGGGGAAGGUAGCUUGCUACCUAACCUAGCGGCGGACGGGUGAGUAAUGCUUAGGAAUCUGCCUAUUAGUGGGGGACAACAUUUCGAAAGGGAUGCUAAUACCGCAUACGCCCUAAGGGGGAAAGCAGGGGAUCUUCGUACCUUGCGCUAAUAGAUGAGCCUAAGUCGGAUUAGCUAGUUGGUGGGGUAAAGGCCUACCAAGGCGACGAUCUGUAGCGGGUCUGAGAGGAUGAUCCGCACCGUGGGACUAAGACCCUGCCCAGACUCCUGCGGGAGGCAGCAGUGGGGAAUAUUGGACAAUGGGGGGAUCCCUGAUCCAGCCAUGCCGCGUGUGUGAAGAAGGCCUUUUGGUUGUAAAGCACUUUAAGCGAGGAGGAGGCUACCGAGAUUAAUACUCUUGGAUAGUGGACGUUACUCGCAGAAUAAGCACCGGCUAACUCUGUGCCAGCAGCCGCCGUAACAC
rnacentral:rRNA from 1 species